UACGAAGGGGGCUAGCGUUGCUCGGAAUUACUGGGCGUAAAGCGCACGUAGGCGGCUUGUUAAGUCGGGGGUGAAAUCCUGGAGCUCAACUCCAGAACUGCCUUCGAUACUGGCGAGCUCGAGUUCGGGAGAGGUGAGUGGAACUGCGAGUGUAGAGGUGAAAUUCGUAGAUAUUCGCAAGAACACCAGUGGCGAAGGCGGCUCACUGGCCCGAUACUGACGCUGAGGUGCGAAAGCGUGGGGAGCAAACGGG
rnacentral:rRNA from 1 species